AACCAAGCUCUGCAGACAUUGUUGCAGCACAGCUGGCUUCAUUGAAUGUGCACUGUCGUAGCUGAGAGGCUUUGCAAGGUAAUAAAGGAAGAAGCCGUCUUUGAGAAAUUGAGCUGAAAAUUUACAGAGAGGAAUGAUGUAGACUGAAACUUUACACGGGGAACCAUCUGACUGUGGUCAAAAUACUUUACAGAUCAUUUUUUUGGCUCCAAAUUCACUCCCACAAGUAAUUUGUGGUCUCCAAACCUGGAAGUGCUGGGGCGAGAGGUGAGAGGAGGGAAGAAGCAAAGCAUUGAGAGGUGAGAAAAAGAUGCAGUGGAAGUUAAAGCAGCUUGACCCAAGGAGACACCGAUCUGUGUAAUGUAA
rnacentral:lncRNA from 1 species